AUUGAACGCUGGCGGCAGGCUUAACACAUGCAAGUCGAGCGGGCGAGGUUGCUUCGGUAACUGAGCUAGCGGCGGACGGGUGAGUAAAGCUUAGGAAUCUGCCUAUUAGUGGGGGACAACAUUCCGAAAGGGAUGCUAAUACCGCAUACGUCCUACGGGAGAAAGCAGGGGAUCACUUGUGACCUUGCGCUAAUAGAUGAGCCUAAGUCGGAUUAGCGAGUUGGUGGGGUAAAGGCCUACCAAGGCGACGAUCUGUAGCGGGUCUGAGAGGAUGACCCGCCACACUGGGACGGAGACACGGCCCAGACUCCUACGGGAGGCAGCAGUGGGGAAUAUUGGACAAUGGGGGGAACCCUGAUCCAGCCAUGCCGCGUGUGUGAAGAAGGCCUUUUGGUUGUAAAGCACUUUAAGCGAGGAGGAGGCUUACCUGGUUAAUACCUGGGAUAAGUGGACGUUACUCGCAGAAUAAGCACCGGCUAACUCUGUGCCAGCCGCCGCUGUAA
rnacentral:rRNA from 1 species